CACCAAAUUUAUGGAUCAAAACCCUCGCUUUUUAUAGUUUCUCUCUCUCGAAAACCAAACCCCUCUUUCUCUCUCUAAUAUUUGGCCUCGCUUUUCAGUGGCGGCUGAAGCUCUCACUCCACACACCCGUUGUCUCCCUCUAGGGUUUUACAAAUCUCUCCUCCAUUUUUGAAGAUCUAUCUUGUGUUAUGGCAGCUGUUGCUCCUCCCGCUGAUC
rnacentral:lncRNA from 1 species